ensembl:lncRNA
AAACAGCUUGGAGGGGUUUUGUGACCUGCCUAAGUUCACACAGAGAACUUGUUUGGAAAAGUAUCUCUCCGUCCUAGGGCUGGAGAGACAGCAGAAGGAGAAUUGGAUUAAGAGUCAAACAUUAAUAGCACCAUUCCCACAUCUAUGGACUUGGGCACAUUAUGCAACCUCUCUGAGUUUUGAUUUCUCUCCUGGAACAAUGCGGUUGAUGUUACUCCAAAGAGAAGUGAGAUCAAAUGCAAUAAUCUAGGCAUGUGAAAGCCUUUUGCUAACACUAGAGUCCUGGGCAAGAUACUAAAGCAGAGACUCAGCCGCCUGCUCUUCUGGAACUCCAUUAAUUAAGCAAGAAUGCCUGUGUGUUUGAGGAAGAAAGAUCUCAGAGGGUCCAUUUAGCCUGUCAAAAUCACAAGAUUGAGUAAACUUUGGCAAAUUGUCCUGAAAAUGCUUUAACAUACGCUAAGCUCUUUGCAAGAGCAUUCUCAUCCGUCUCUAGGAACCCAUCCAGGUUUAACAUGCUUUGAUUCUAUUUUUUCAGAGUUUAUUAUUAUCUGGAGGAUUCCAUGAAAGGCAAGUAACUCUGAAAGCCACACUGUAUCAAAUGAAUUUUCCUUUAGGUGAGCUGCCUUACAGCAAUAGAAUGGCUCCUUCGAGACGGUGAACCACAGUGAGUACUUGGCUUGCUGAAUCUCCAAGAUGACAGAUGCUGCUGAUUCUCAUAUUCCAAAGUGAGGCCUAAAACUGCCUGAGCAGGACUUGCAAUGGAGAAUCCAAUAACUGAAUUCUGUCCGUAGGUGACCACCCAGCUCUAGCCUAUAAAGAAAGGCUGUAAAAGACGAGGGGACUGCAGAUUGGAUGAGUAGUUUUGGAGAGAGCUGUCACAGUGCUGAGGAUCGUAACACCAAAACUCUCCCAUCCAGACACUAACAUACCCAGGAGGGGGUGUGAGACACUUCAGCCUAGGGAAAG